CAGUAGCCACGGUAAUACGUAGGUGGCAAGCGUUGCCCGGAAUUAUUGGGCGUAAAGGGCUCGCAGGCGGUUUCUUAAGUCUGAUGUGAAAGCCCCCGGCUCAACCGGGGAGGGUCAUUGGAAACUGGGAAACUUGAGUGCAGAAGAGGAGAGUGGAAUUCCACGUGUAGCGGUGAAAUGCGUAGAGAUGUGGAGGAACACCAGUGGCGAAGGCGACUCUCUGGUCUGUAACUGACGCUGAGGAGCGAAAGCGUGGGGAGCGAACAGGAUUAGAUACCCCCGUAGUCCCUGUCUCUUAUAC
rnacentral:rRNA from 1 species